CUUUUACCACAAAAAAAAAAACAUUCAUUUUCGUAAGGGGAAUAUGAGUGUUUGUUUUUUUGUAGUUUUUCAGUCAAUUGCAUACCGCUUUUAGCUGUACAAAACUUAAACAGUUUUCGUAAAUGCAUUUCAGAGAAAAGUGAAUUCUGAGAUUUGAAUAAUGCAUCUGACGUGUGUGUGAUGACGUCACGACGCACGUAUUUUGAUUUUUACCAGUCGUUCAAGGCGGACGGAUUCAGUCCCAAGAAGCUAAAGUUUUUCAAAGACAUUUGUAGGGAGGACUUUGCAGCUAAUGGAGCUGAAGUAUUUUAUGUAAGGAGGAUUUUGCAGCCCAUAUAGAUUUCCUUAGGCUGAACCAAAACCUGCCAGACUAAAGUUGAUUUGGGAGAGAAAGACGUUGUAAACUCAAUCAUCUUGACAUUCUUCAAUGAGUAAUUGUUCAAUUUUUAGGCAAAUACUGUACACUUUGAAUGCUCUGAAUAAAACUAUAUUUUAAAUAUAUUUAAAAUGAAUUGUUUUUGACUGUUUUAAUCAGCUUUUAUUUAUUUGGAAAAAAUUAUUUUGGUUAUGUUACCAGCUAAAGUAAUCUAUUCCCAAAAUAGCACUCUUUAAGUUAACUAAUUAUUAACGCACUUGAAGUAUACUCAUUACUAAUCUAGCUGCAGGUAUGUAAAAGUAUACAAAAUGUAAUGUACUUGGCAUAUUCAUUUUUCACCAGGGCAGUUUUUAGAAUUUUGGAUUGGCCAAAAAUAUAUAGAAUGUACGCAAACAGUCUAUUUAAGAUAUACUGAUUGUAUGUUUGCAAGACACUCAUAAUACAUUUGUAAUGUACUCCUAACAUAAAUAAAACACACUCUAAAUCCACUUAUCAAGCAUGAAUUUAGCACAAAAACAGUCAUGUACUUAAAUUGUACUAAAUACACUUAAAGUUGUUCCACUUUAGCACACAAAAGUACACUAAAUACACUUAAAGUUGUACUUUGUUACAAUUAAUAUACAACUAAAAUAUAUUAAGUACAA